rnacentral:rRNA from 1 species
UACCGGAUGAUGACGUAAGUCCAAAGAUUUAUCGCCCAAGGAUGAGCCCGCGUAGGAUUAGCUAGUUGGUGAGGUAAAGGCUCACCAAGGCGACGAUCCUUAGCUGGUCUGAGAGGAUGAUCAGCCACACUGGGACUGAGACACGGCCCAGACUCCUACGGGAGGCAGCAGGUGGGGAAUAUUGGACAAUGGGCGAAAGCCUGAUCCAGCAAUGCCGCGUGAGUGAUGAAGGCCUUAGGGUUGUAAAGCUCUUUACCCGGGAUGAUAAUGACAGUACCGGGAGAAUAAGCUCCGGCUAACUCCGUG